CGGGCAGGUUCGGGCCGAACGCAGUGAGACAACGUUGCGACAGCAACGGCCCGCAGGGUGAGGCGCAGCCGAAUC
rnacentral:sRNA from 7 species